AACUAACGCUGGCGGCGUACCUAACACAUGCAAGUCGUACGAGAAAGCCGGCUUCGGCUGGUGAGUAAAGUGGCGCACGGGGUGAGUAACGCGUGGAUAAUCUGCCCUUAAGUGUGGAAUAACGUACCGAAAGGUGCGCUAAUACCGCAUAAUGCCUGGCAACACAAGUUGUCCGGCCAAAAGAAGGCCUCUGUUUACAAGCUUUCGCUUCAGGAUGAGUCCGCGUACCAUUAGCUUGUUGGUGGGGUAAUGGCCUACCAAGGCUGCGAUGGUUAGCUGGUCUGAGAGGAUGAUCAGCCACACUGGAACUGAGACACGGUCCAGACUCCUACGGGAGGCAGCAGUGGGGAAUAUUGCGCAAUGGGGGAAAACCCUGACGCAGCAACGCCGCGUGAAGGAAGAAGGGCCCUGGUUGUAACGUUACUUUGUAUCGGGACGGAAAUAAGACGGUAACCGACGGAACGAAGACCGACGACGUAACUAACGUCGACCGACGCCAGCCGCGGUAACGUAACGUCAACGUCGCUA
rnacentral:rRNA from 1 species